CGGAGAAAGAGGCGACGAAAGGGUACGCUGCCAAGGGUGGAGGAGGACCAGCUAGAACCAGCAGCGGCGGGCGGGCACCACUACGUGGGUGUCAUCUAGGCAAGAGAGGAGAGCGUGCUACGCAGCGGAGACGAGGAGGGCAGGGAGCGACGGUAGAGGGCCGGAAACCGAAGGAGACGGGGUUCUAGACACGCGCAGCGCCACCUUCUAGGCUCUUCCCUCCGCUCAGAGAGGGUGCCGCAGCGACAACGUGCCGAGCAAACGCAAGGAGAGUUUCCUGGUCCACCUCUUCGACUGCCCUCUCUUGGCCCUGCUCCGGAUACGGCGGCGGUUCUAUUACUUCGAGACGCGGCGACACCCGCUGCCGUCGUCGUGGUUCCACUACGGGCUCUCCGGUGGGGCCUAGGACGCGUCGGGUACCAGUGCCGGUUCGACCUCACCGCGAGGCCCAAGUACCGGGGGUUCGACCACAACCCGCGCCGCCGCUUCUGCGGUGUCUCAACGGGAUGCGACGGGGCGCGGUACCUCCUCCAAGUGCGACUUCCGAAACCUGUUCAAACUCCUAUGCAAACCAGGGAAACUAACACCGAAAUAUAAAAGAUUAUCUUUCAGAUCGUCCCAGACGUAUCUAGUCCGACCACUGCUGUUGGUAGACCUACUCGGCUCCGUACUAGAAAUGAUACUUCGUGUUUCAAAGAGUCUGUAAGAACUAUUACUCAUCUAUAUAGAUUGAUCACACUACCGAUGGCAACUGCUUUAUGUUCUACGAAACCCAAGACAACACCGUGUAAGUGUAACUCUAAAAUAAUGUUUGACAUCGAAGGUAGUUACAAGGACGAACGAGUGAAACACUUACUUCACUAUAUAGCCCCAGAGUUAAACGCGGACGGUACUAAGAUGAGGAGACAUACGAAGAUCCUUUGUACAUAAUAUAACGACAGGUAACGCCCAGUACCUUAGAGUUAAACGAAAACCGUACUUGGCUGGAAGAUAAUCAAGUGUUGAAAACCUGUCACGAUCGAUAAUGAAGAUUGGUGGAGAGUAGAGACAUUAGUCAGUAGAUCCGACAUUCUGACAACGAAGAUACAAGUAUAUUCGGGACCGGGUAGAAUGUUUAAAGAUAACAACAUAGAAUACAAAGGUUGGUUGUUGAACGUGUACUAACACGAUAACGUAUACUACACCAAAAUCAAAUAAGAGUACACUUGUUGGUUCUAUGAAGCAACUUCUCCGAGAGUAGCGAACGUACGUCUACACGGUGUGUUUAGUGUUUCUUCGUUCUCUUUUCUCGCCUCACGGAUGUACCGUGGCGUCGCCGUGCGGAGUCCGCCACGUCGUUCCGACACGGGGUUGUUGAUCACUAUCAUAGUAUCUAUUAUAGUACGUACGGUUGAUUUGUUAAAACUACUCUACCGUAUCUUAAUUUACUUCUUUCUCUACGAACUCGUAGUAUAGUACUAUAACAUAGUAUAAUUUACUACACGAUGAAACACAGUACGUACUGUUAUUUAUAUCAUGAGAUACU
rnacentral:rRNA from 1 species